rnacentral:rRNA from 1 species
GAGGAAGCCCUUCGGGGCAGGAAGACAGGUGGUGCAUGGUUGUCGUCAGCUCGUGUCGUGAGAUGUUGGGUUAAGUCCCGCAACGAGCGCAACCCUUAUCGUUAGUUGCUACCAUUAAGUUGAGCACUCUAGCGAGACUGCCUGGGUUAACCAGGAGGAAGGUGGGGAUGACGUCAAAUCAUCAUGCCCCUUAUGUCUAGGGCUACACACGUGCUACAAUGGCCGGUACAACGAGAAGCAAACCCGUGAGGGGGAGCCAAACUAAAAAACCGGUCCCAGUUCGGAUUGUAGGCUGAAACUCGCCUACAUGAAGUUGGAGUUGCUAGUAACCGCGAAUCAGAAUGUCGCGGUGAAUACGUUCCCGGGUCUUGUACACACCGCCCGUCACACCAUGAGAGCCGGUAACACCCGAAGCCUGUGAGGUAACCGCAAGGAGCCAGCAGUCGAAGGUGGGAUUGGUGACUGGGACGAAGUCGUAACAAGGUAGGUGUACCGGAAGG